GAAUUUAAGCAUAUUAAUAAGCGGAGGAAAAGAAACUAACAAGGAUUCCCGUAGUAAUGGCGAAUGAACUGGGAAAGGCUCAAAUUUAAAAUCACUUUUUGUGAAUUGUAGUUUAAAGGAAAUAAGUCUCACAGUAAUCGCUAGUUAAGUAUUCUGGAAUGAAUCGUCAUAGAGGGUGAAAUUCCCGUAUACACUAGAUAGAAAGCUGCAAAGAACUUUUAUCCUAUGAGUCGUGUUGCUUGUGAAUGCAGCAUUAAUUGGGAGGUAAAUUCCUUCUAAGGCUAAAUACAAGAGAGAGACCGAUAGCAAACAAGUACCGUGAGGGAAAGAUGAAAGAGAACCCUGAAAAGGGGACUCAAAAGAAUGUGAAAUUGUCAAAAGGUAAGCGCUAAGAAUUGUUCGGAAUCUCGGUUUUAAACUUUUCAGAGUUCGCUCUGUAGUUUGGCUGGGGUGGCUAUAGCUUUUGUUUUGACUAUCAAGAAUUUAGGGAUAGGGAUUGUAGGCCUCGGCUUACCUUUUCUUGAACUAGACAAUUGACUGUUGGAGCAGGAGUAAAAGUCUCACAAAGGUGUUGAUGAAGGGUUUUUUCUCUUAUAGGCUUGCCUAGAGGAGUCAGAAGUCUUUAUCUUCUUUUUUAUGAGUAUUUAUAGUUAGAAGGUUCUAAGCGUCCCGUCUUGAAACACGGACCAAGGAGUCUAACACAUAUGCAGGUAUAUGGGCGUCAAACCCCAUGCGUAAUGAAAGUAAUUUCAGGUAGGAUCUCGCAAGAGUGCACUAUCAACCGAACCUUGUGGACUUGUUCACAGGAUUUGAGUAGAGC
rnacentral:rRNA from 1 species